rnacentral:rRNA from 1 species
GACGAACGCUGGCGGCGUGCUUAACACAUGCAAGUCGAACGGUGAAGCGCCUUCCUUUUUGGUGGGUGUGGAUGAGUGGCGAACGGGUGAGUAACACGUGAGUAACCUGCCCCCUUCUUCUGGAUAACCGCAUGAAAGUGUGGCUAAUACGGGAUAUUCUGGGUCUGUCGCAUGAUGGGUCUGGGAAAGAUAUUGUUUCGGUGGGGGAUGGACUCGCGGCCUAUCAGCUUGUUGGUGGGGUGAUGGCCUACCAAGGCGGUGACGGGUAGCCGGCCUGAGAGGGGUGACGGUCACACUGGGACUGAGACACGGCCAAGACUCCUACGGGAGGCAGCAGUGGGGAAUAGUGCACAAUGGGCGCAAGCCUGAUGCAGCGACGCCGCGUGAGGGAUGGAGGCCUUCGGUUUGUGAACCUCUUUCGCCAGUGAAGCAGGCCUGCCUCGUUUGUGGGUGGGUUGACGGUAGCUGGAUAAGAAGCGCCGGCUAACUACGUG